UACGUAGGGGGCUAGCGUUGUCCGGAUUCAUUGGGCGUAAAGGGUGCGUAGGCGGCGCGGUAAGUCGGGUGUGAAAUCUCGGAGCUUAACUCCGAAACUGCAUUCGAUACUGCCGUGCUUGAGGACUGGAGAGGAGACUGGAAUUUACGGUGUAGCGGUGAAAUGCGUAGAUAUCGUAAGGAAGACCAGUGGCGAAGGCGGGUCUCUGGACAGUUCCUGACGCUGAGGCGCGAAGGCCAGGGGAGCAAACGGG
rnacentral:rRNA from 1 species